rnacentral:rRNA from 1 species
CACGUAGUUAGCCGUGGCUUUCUGAUUAGGUACCGUCAAGAUGUGCACAGUUACCUACACAUUUGUUCUUCCCUAAUAACAGAGUUUUACGAGCCGAAACCCUUCAUCACUCACGCGGCGUUGCUCCGUCAGGCUUUCGCCCAUUGCGGAAGAUUCCCUACUGCUGCCUCCCGUAGGAGUCUGGACCGUGUCUCAGUUCCAGUGUGGCCGAUCACCCUCUCAGGUCGGCUACGUAUCGUCGCCUUGGUAAGCCGUUACCUUACCAACUAGCUAAUACGGCGCGGGUCCAUCUAUAAGUGAUAGCAAAACCAUCUUUCACUUUAGAACCAUGCGGUUCUAAAUGUUAUCCGGUAUUAGCUCCGGUUUCCCGAAGUUAUCCCAGUCUUAUAGGUAGGUUACCCACGUGUUACUCACCCGUCCGCCGCUAACUUCAAAGGAGCAAGCUCCUUAUCUGUUCGCUCGACUUGCAUGUAUUAGGCACGCCGCCAGCGUUCAUCCUGAGCCAGGAUCAAACUCU